rnacentral:rRNA from 1 species
ACUCAAAUGAAUUGACGGGGGCUCACACAAGCGGAGGAGCAUGUUGUUCAAUUCGAAGCAACGCGAAGAACCUUACCUGGGUUUGACAUGCUGGAAGUAGGAUCCUGAAAGGGGGACGACCGGUAUCCAGUCCGGAGCCAGCACAGGUGCUGCAUGGCUGUCGUCAGUUCGUGUCGUGAGACGUUAGGUUAAGUCCUGUAACGAACGAAACCCCUGUCGUCUGUUGCUACCGGGUCAUGCCGGGCACUCUGACGAGACUGCCGAUGUUAAAUCGGAGGAAGGUGGGGACGACGUCAAGUCAUCAUGGUCCUUACGCCCAGGGCCACAAACGUGCUACAAUGGUCGGCACAAAGAGACGCAAGGCCGCGAGGCGGAGCAAAUCUUCAAAACCGGCCCCAGUUCGGAUUGGAGGCUGCAAUUCGCCUCCAUGAAGUUGGAUUCGCUAGUAAUCGCGGAUCAGCCACGCCGCGGUGAAUACGUUCCUGAGCCUUGUACACACCGCCCGU